UAGCAAUGUCUAUGCGUCUUGUACAAAUGUGCAGCCUUCAAAGAGAGUUGAAGUUUCUUUUACCGAAGUCGUGACCGAAGUCUGACCUUCAUCGCUUGCGGUUCCUCAUCUUGUGCCUACAUAACUAACUGCACAUGAUCCACUAGCCCAACUAAGUGGACGGCCGGACUGGAACUCGAAGGGCAGACCACAAGCUGCUGCGUCGGCACAGUACCAACCCAAGCUGGGGCACAGUGCCAACUGUGCUCCCUU
rnacentral:lncRNA from 1 species